AUGUGUCAAUAUCCUUUUGCGAGUGCUGAUAUCGUAACAAACGGAGCAAAUACCGAUUGGAUUCACACCAUUCACGUUAUCACUGCGUCUAUGUUUCUAAUUAAAAUUUGUUAAAAGUCAGGUCGCCCCGCCACGGAGUGCGGGUGCAACCAACUAGUUUCAAUUAAGUAUCAAAAUAGGUUCACCCACUAUAUAUGUUUAUAUGAGUGCUAGUGGCAUUGGAGGUGGGCGUGAUGGUGGUGACAUAGGUGGUGUUGACGGCAACAGAUAGGUGGUGGUUGGUGGGGCUGGCCUAUUUGAACACGUUUUAAGUUAGCAGUUACACAAGAGUGACUCAUUUUGAUCCGUUGUAGAGUAGACAUCAAGCAAACAAACAUGGCUUAAAUCAUCUACUUUCUUAAAUGACGUGUCAUGAUUGCGAGGGGUAGCAUUAGUGAUGCGGACCCAAGUGUGGAGGAGCGGGCCAUCUUGUACUUGGAGGCCCAAGAUCGUGUAACAAAAGGGGCUUCACUAAAAUGGCUCUAACUUGGGUUACGGGGGUCCGUUUUGGGCGUGCGACCAGGCGAAACGAACGUGAGAACGAGCUCCAUCUUGCUGCAAAUUGCCUACGGCGGUUUGGGUCAUCGUCCGGGCCAAAAAACGCUUAUUUCAAUUAGUUAUUUACGUUUUUAUGUUUUUUGGAGUGUUUUGGGCAUUUUGUUUUUGGGCUUGUGUUUGGCCCAUUGUCUUUUUGAGGCCCAUUCCGAAUUUCUUUCCUAUUUAUAUUUGUCUCUAGUAAUGUGAAAGAUGAGACUUGAAUUUU
rnacentral:lncRNA from 1 species